rnacentral:miRNA from 2 species
UCCUGCGGCGUUUCUGACAGAAA